rnacentral:rRNA from 1 species
CCCUUAGACGUUCUGGGCCGCACGCGCGCUACACUGACGGAGCCAGCGAGUAUAAACCUUGGCCGAGAGGUCUGGGAAAUCUUGUGAAACUCCGUCGUGCUGGGGAUAGAGCAUUGUAAUUAUUGCUCUUCAACGAGGAAUUCCUAGUAAGCGCAAGUCAUCAGCUUGCGUUGAUUACGUCCCUGCCCUUUGUACACACCGCCCGUCGCUACUACCGAUUGAAUGGCUUAGUGAGGCUUCCGGAUUGGUUUAGAGAAGGGGGCAGCUCCAUCUUGGAACCGAGAAGCUAGUCAAACUUGGUCAUUUAGAGGAAGUAAAAGUCGUAACA